rnacentral:rRNA from 2 species
UUGAUUACGUCCCUGCCCUUUGUACACACCGCCCGUCGCUGCCCGGGACUGAGCCAUUUCGAGAAAUUUGGGGACCGUUGAUUUAAUUUUUCUAAAUUACUUUGAUGGAAACCAAUUUAAUCGCAGUGGCUUGAACCGGGCAAAAGUCGUAACAAGGUAGCUGUAGGUGAACCUGCUGCUGGAUCAUU